rnacentral:rRNA from 1 species
AUACGUAGGGAGCAAGCGUUGUCCGGAAUUACUGGGCGUAAAGGGGUGCGUAGGCGGCAUCGCAAGUCAGACGUGAAAUACCCGGGCUUAACCCGGGGGCUGCGUCUGAAACUGCGGAGCUUGAGUGCAGGAGAGGAAAGUGGAAUUCCUAGUGUAGCGGUGGAAUGCGUAGAUAUUAGGAGGAACACCAGUGGCGAAGGCGACUUUCUGGACUGUAACUGACGCUGAGGCACGAAAGCGUGGGUAGC